rnacentral:rRNA from 1 species
AGUGAACGCUGGCGGUAGGCCUAACACAUGCAAGUCGAACGGCAGCACAGUAAGAGCUUGCUCUUACGGGUGGCGAGUGGCGGACGGGUGAGGAAUACAUCGGAAUCUACUUUUUCGUGGGGGAUAACGUAGGGAAACUUACGCUAAUACCGCAUACGACCUACGGGUGAAAGCAGGGGAUCUUCGGGCCUUGCGCGAUUGAAUGAGCCGAUGUCGGAUUAGCUAGUUGGCGGGGUAAAGGCCCACCAAGGCGACGAUCCGUAGCUGGUCUGAGAGGAUGAUCAGCCACACUGGAACUGAGACACGGUCCAGACUCCUACGGGAGGCAGCAGUGGGGAAUAUUGGACAAUGGGCGAAAGCCUGAUCCAGCAAUACCGCGUGGGUGAAGAAGGCCUUCGGGUUGUAAAGCCCUUUUGUUGGGAAAGAAAAGCAGCAGGUGAAUACCCCGCUGUUCUGACGGUACCCAAAGAAUAAGCACCGGCUAACUUCGUG